UGAUAGUCCAGAGCAGACCAAAGCCUCCUCU
rnacentral:piRNA from 1 species